UAAAAUGUUGUAUUCCGAUACCACCGCAUUUUUAUUUUUAGCACUGCGACCGGAUACACUCGUUACCGUGGCGACGACAACAAGAGUGGAGCGCGCCGACUGUAUUAUAAGAACAAAAUGGGGAAAAAUGUGUGUUGGUGGUGACCGGUGAUCAAGACAGGAGAGGACGUUCGUUUAAGGCUUGCUUGAGGUAUGUUCAAGUACUUUUAAUACGAUACGGCUCGCAAGCAGGCAACAAAAACGUUAUGUAGCGUAGCAAGCUAGUGCUAGCGCUAACAGUUGUACCGUAAACAUGCCGCCGUUCUGUCGACUCAUGCUCUAAAGUUUCGGUGUGGGUGAAGUAAUUUAAUUACAGUAAGUUAGCACCCAUUAUUUCUGUCAUGUAAUGUUGGUUUGACCUGACUGAUUAGAAUACUGACUGACUAGAGCAGUGAUUUCCAACCUUUAUGGAGCCACCACUUGAAAAAAAAAAUCUCACGGCACACCAACAAACAAAAAUGUCACAAAAAGUGGAUACAUUAAUUACUGUAUUUACUUCCUGCCAUCUAAUAGAAGACCAUUUAUCAUUUGUUCUGUCUGACAAUUUGCCUCACUGGCAUAAAUAGAUGAACAAAGAUACAUUUAUUGUAAUUAUAAUUUUUUGAGCAAUUAAGUACACAAGUACAUGCAGUAAAUGAACAGGUCAUUUAAAUAGACACAUUGCUCCAUCUUGUGAUCGGAUCUGUGAUCGGUUAUCGUUUUUUUAAACUCGCUGAUCGGCCCCAAAGCCUAUUUUUUACCUACCCUGAUUAAUUUAUUUUAGUGAGUUAAAUCAAUUAAAUGUGAAGAGUAUCAAGACGGCCCUUGGAUUCUUGGAUUUUUCUAUAUGGGACCCUUGGAAGAAAAAGUUUGGACACCCAUGCACUCACAUCUUAUGCUUAUGUCACGUGUGUCACUUUUGGGCGUAAGGCAAAACAUUCUCACGUGACAAACAUUUGAUCCGUGAAGGCAAAAUACGUACCAAACGAGUGAGUAACAAAACUAACGUAUGCAUCCUCAUUCUUAGCAAGUAAAACCAAAGUGUAAUCCAAACACAGCGUUUACAUCUUAUUGCAAUGUCUCUUACGUCGUGGUGAGAUAUUCAUAUGUGACAAACAUCACGCAGUACUGUCCAAACAACAGGGUCACAAGGGGCUGGAGCCACUCUCAGCUAACAGCGCGCAAAAGGCAGACUACACCCUGGAUUGGUCGCCUGUCAAUCAGUGACAACAAUUCACACUUACCUUUACACUGAGUGAGAAUUGUCUGGAAGGAAGUCAGUGCGCAAAAAUCGCAGUUGAAAAGAAGGCAACAGCAGAAUAGAGAGUUUAUGUGGCAGCGAGAACAUCGAGGCUUGCGGGGCGCAGUGCUGACGGAACGGUUGGAAGCGACGUCGACAUGGAGUGGUGGGAUGGCAUCACUCCAGACACCCAUCUCAGCCUUAAGGUCAAACUGACUGGGUGGAUGAACUCCAGCCCUUUUCCAUCGCAACUCAUGCAGGUCACUUGAUAAAGAACUGAAGAGGAAAACAGCGAGGAGGGGGGUUUUUCACUCCAAACUUGCAAAGGGUAUGAAAACCUUCAUUAUUUGGGAACUUCAUGAACUUUAAACAGACAUUCACUGCUCCCACGAGAUAACCCCUGAUGAUUUUCGAGGGGAUUCCCUCACAUUUCAUCUGGACUGUUGUGGUUUUGUAUGUUAAGUGUUGUGUUAGU